rnacentral:rRNA from 1 species
CGGGGAGCACCACAACAGGUGGAGCCUGCGGUUUAAUCGGACUCAACGCCGGGAAACUCACCAGAUAAGACAGCUGAAUGAUAGUCGGGCUGAAGACUCUACUUGACUAGCUGAGAGGAGGUGCAUGGCCGUCGUCAGUUCGUACUGUGAAGCAUCCUGUUAAGUCAGGCAACGAGCGAGACCCACGCCAACAGUUGCCAGCUCGUCCUCCGGGAUGGUGGGGACACUGUUGGAACCGCCUCUGCUAAAGAGGAGGAAGGAAUGGGCAACGGUAGGUCAGCAUGCCCCGAAUUAUCUGGGCUACACGCGGGCUACAAUGGGUGGGACAAUGGGUAUCGACACCGAAAGGUGAAGGCAAUCUCCUAAACCCAUCCGUAGUUCGGAUUGUGGGCUGCAACUCGCCCACAUGAAGCUGGAAUCUGUAGUAAUCGUGUCUCAAAAUGGCACGGUGAAUAUGUCCCUGCUCCUU